UACAGUGGGGUGAGAAACUGCUAAUCUAGAUGUUGCCCAGUCUAUGAGAGCUUCAAAUGAGAAGAAAUGGUACUUCACUCUUGGAAAGGAAUGAAUUUUGAUUUGGGGGCAACUCACUGCUGGAACUUGACUGAACAGAAAAGGGACAGUGUGACACAAUGGCAGAGAAAACAGUGAUCCUCCAGAAAUAUAUUGAGUGACUAUAGCAAACUGACUUGGAUCAUCUAAGCAAG